AAAUUGGUGUUGGACCCUCUGUGUAUUUCAGGUUAAUACUUUUAAGCAGUUUUCAGCACGUUUAUCUCACUUUAUUCUCGUUCUCCUCGGACCUUCGUAGCCAUAUCACUUGUAUAAAAUAGGCUGAGAUAUAGUGACUGUAAGCUGUGAUCUCAGUAUACAAAGGUCUAAUGCUGGAUCUCUGCUCGUGGUCUGUGACAAGACAAGUGAUUCAGCCACACUGGUCUCCUUGACAUACUAUCCACAUCUCUUUGGACCCUGCAUCAACUUAUUGCUUCCCUCAGCUGUAGCUUUGGCCACCCCAGGUGGGCCCAUGUGUGAGGUGCCAUAUAAAAGCCAGGUGAGCCUUGCUUCCAACAUCCUCUGCUGUCACCAGAUAUGCUGCUAUAGGAUGCAUUCCUUUCCCUCCAUCACCUGUUGAGAUUGGCCCUAUGUAACCCACAUCUUUGGGGUGCUGAAUGCUGCUUUUCUCCUGGCUCAUUUAGUAUGGCAGCUUUUCAGCCAUGGGAUCUACCAUGGCUAUGAGAGUGGUGCUUAGCUCCAUUUACUUCAUUUUGUGGAGAGGAAGGCUCAUCUGUAGAAACUGGGCUAGGGAGUGAUUGUGGGUGUCUUCAUGGCCUGCUUGCCAUCUCCCAGGAUGAGGGUGGGCUCUGGCUGGCGAGUGGUAUCCAGAGGGACUUCUUCCAACAGCACAUCAGGACUCAGGUGGGCAAAGUGACUGCUCAGUCCAGGUGGGAACAACCUGCUAUUGGGCAGACAGGUACUUUAGCCCCUACCAGAGCCCUAGAGCAUCUUUGCAUUCAGGCCUUUCACCCUGGAUCCAUCUAUCUGGCCCUGUUGUGCUCAACUUUUGGUCUCUUAAGUGGUCGGUUAGGGCCCAGCCACUCCUUUGGGAGACUGGUCUUCUUACUCCAUGCUAGGGCAAGCGCACUGCCAGGAACAUUGAGGCUCUUGGGCCCAAAUGCAGUGAUAUCCUUGGGGGUUUGGCCUGGGGUUGGCCUCAAGCCAUCAGGCCCCCAGCCCAACUGCUGUGGUAGGGUUUUCCUGCCUUGUGUUGUAGUGUUCUGGUGGCAGAGCCUGUUAAGCUUGCUUCUCACCCACUCCAAGCAGACAGAGCUCUGACUGGGAAGGAGUGGAGAAGUACAGCAAGUGUGAACUGAAGCUCUGGGCUGUUAAGAUGGGGCUCCCUCUUAAGGAAGAGUAGGGUUGUCUGGCUUCACUUCAGCCCUUCCUCAGCUCCAGGGCCAGGGUACAGGAGGCAGCCAUGUGUGGUCGUGGGUAGAAAAACUUUCCCCAUCACACGGUUACACACGUGGCAUUCGACUCCUGGCUGUAGCUCGCUCUGGUCUGGUGAUGAAAUUAGCUUUUAGAAGUCUAUUUAAAAUAUCCCUAUCUAUUUAUUGUGUUUUCCUGAAUACACAAGUGUAAAUAGUAUAAUUUUGCAGUGCAAAGUCCUUGGCAAUAACUUUAUGUUGUGUGUUAUGUUAAAAAACAUUGGAAACCACAUCCACCAUGGACUGUCUGCCCCACCGGGGCAAUGGUCACAUGUAGGACUGAACUUGACACCGUCAGCGUGGUUGAAGCAGCAGCCUGCAUGUGUGGACUCACCAGUGCCUCGCCCAGAGAUGCCUGGCCUUCACCCAAAGGGACCCUGCUGCCCCGACUUCCACAGGCAGCACCCACACUGUGGCUACUUUGUGCUGAAUAUGUUGGACUCUGCUGUAGACUGAUAACUCUUGUCUGGCUGCUGCAGUUUGUCUGUAAUGCCCUGACAUGUUGCAUUAUCCCUCUUUGGAUGAAUACAAAUAAAUGCUUCUGUGUUAAUG